CAAACUUGAGAGUUUGAUCCUGGCUCAGAACGAACGCUGGCGGCAUGCCUAACACAUGCAAGUCGAACGAACCCUUCGGGGUGAGUGGCGCACGGGUGCGUAACGCGUGGGAACCUGCCUUUA
rnacentral:rRNA from 1 species